ensembl:snRNA U4 U4 spliceosomal RNA
AGCUUUGCACAGUGACAGUAUGGUAACCAAUGAGGUUUAUCUGAGGCAAGAUUAUUGCUAAUUGAAAAAAGUAUUGAUGAAUUUCUAAAGUUUUUUUCAACAAAACAAACUAAUUAUUUAAUACCAUUUAAAUGA